rnacentral:rRNA from 1 species
GACGAACGCUGGCGGCGUGCUUAACACAUGCAAGUCGAACGAUGAACCCGGAGCUUGCUCUGGGGGAUUAGUGGCGAACGGGUGAGUAACACGUGAGUAACCUGCCCUGGACUCUGGGAUAAGCGUUGGAAACGACGUCUAAUACCGGAUAGGACCUUGGAUCGCAUGAUCUGGGGUGGAAAGUUUUUUCGGUCUGGGAUGGACUCGCGGCCUAUCAGCUUGUUGGUGAGGUAAUGGCUCACCAAGGCGUCGACGGGUAGCCGGCCUGAGAGGGUGACCGGCCACACUGGGACUGAGACACGGCCCAGACUCCUACGGGAGGCAGCAGUGGGGAAUAUUGCACAAUGGGCGAAAGCCUGAUGCAGCAACGCCGCGUGCGGGAUGACGGCCUUCGGGUUGUAAACCGCUUUUAGUAGGGAAGAAGGGCUUCGGCUUGACGGUACCUGCAGAAAAAGGACCGGCUAACUACGU